ensembl:lncRNA
AACAGUAUGGAGAGGCCUCAGAAAACUAAAAAUAGAACUACCAUUUGAUAAGUAUUUAUUUUUUAAAUUCCUGUUCAUAUAGUCCUUAGAUCAAAGAGAAGAUUUAUUCGAUAUGUGAAUAUUGAAAGAAUGAAAAUAUACAGAAGUCUGGGAACACGUUCUAUUGCUGCUCUAUAGCAAAGAGGUUUAAUAUCUCAGCCAGGAUCCCACUUACUAAGGAGAACGUAAUCAUGGCACCCUAUUGCCCACCCGUCUUUCUCUGGGAUUGUUCUCUGAAGUUUGCUAAGCAGAAUUAGCUGUUGAUUCAUUUAUGAUUUAUACUUUGAGAGAGUUUGGACUAGACACGUGUGUGCCUCUCUGUCUAGAUGCCAGAUUCCUUGAGGGGCUGGAUAUGUCUUUAUUCCUGGGCACUACGUACCUAGUAUGUGUGCUAUGAAGCAUGCUAUGACAGGGCACUGGGAGGUACCCUGUGCUUGAAAACACCAGAAUCAAGGCUGAAUAACACAAGAAAGGGGGUUUAAUGGAAAGAUCUUGAGUGGCUCCUGGAAUCAAAGGAAGAAUUGAACCACCAGGUCACAGGAAAGCAACAACCAGAGCAAUUGGCUGAGCUCCCUGUAAGGGCUCUUUGCCUCUCUCGGUUCGUCCAUCUGAUGAUGAACCUCCAGCUCCCUUCUUGACCUAGUCUUGGCUCAACAUUCAAAUGCCCAGAAGAAUCCGACUAGUCCACCUGGGGCACGCUGGCAUGAGCCACCUCUGGGACCACUGGCUCUACCACGUGGAAGGCCAAGAGACUGUUUCCCAAAGGAAAGUGGCAGGUACCAGAAGAAAGGGCAAAGAAAUUCUGGAUGGACCAAAGGUACCGACACCCUCUUCCGAAGUGCUCUGGCGUAAGACAAACAUGAGUUCAAAUCCUACCUUCCCCAUCCACGAGAAACCUCAGGCUGCAAAACAUGCUGACUAUAUAAAGCCAUUCUCAAAAUACAUGGUCAUUUUCUUGGGAGAAGGUUGGUGAUGGUGGAAUGUGGAUUGCCGUCAGUUAUGCUAACAUUUCGUCUAAUCCCUUCAAAAUUAAGUAAAUUAAAUGCUAAUAAAACUCUUUGACUGAGGUGUCUACCA